rnacentral:rRNA from 1 species
UACCAGCACCCCGAGUGGUCGGGACGUUUAUUGGGCCUAAAGCAUCCGUAGCCGGUUCUACAAGUCUUCCGUUAAAUCCAACUGCUUAACAGGUGGGCUGCGGAAGAUACUAUAGAGCUAGGAGGCGGGAGAGGCAAGCGGUACUCGAUGGGUAGGGGUAAAAUCCAUUGAUCCAUUGAAGACCACCAGUGGCGAAGGCGGCUUGCCAGAACGCGCUCGACGGUGAGGGAUGAAAGCUGGGGGAGCAAACCGG